UAGUACGCGUCUGUUUCAACUCCCAGCCUGAUGGAAUCAUUUUUUUUUUUUUUUUUUUUUUUUUUUUGUGUAACCACGCCUACACAGUGGCUGCCAAGGCUUACCCAUGAGUUAAACCUUCUUUAGUUGGUAAUGAGGAAGGCGUGGGCUCUAGCAGUGGUCACCCGAAGGCAGCAGUGGGUGAAAACAAGCAAAAUAAAGAAAAGUUUGGCUGUGAGAAGGUGCUAGACAGCCAGUCAUAGUGACGAGGAGGCAGGAAGGUAAAUCACCACUACAGGGAAGGUAUCUGAGACAAAAAAAAACUUGGUCAUGGAUCAUUAACCAAAACUGCCAUGAGUCGAGAUCAAGUAUUAGAGAAAAGAAUGCAUUCCACCACCUUCAACAGCUUCCUCAGGACUUAAAUCAGGGUGGCAAUAGGCAGUCCAUGCAUGUGGAACUUCAUAGCUAGCACAUCGAAGACAAAGAGCAGCAUUGUCUAUGUGGAAGAGAGAAUGUUUCAUUUCUAACCAUGUAUGGCACCUAAGCAAGAGGUGCACACAAAAGUCUGCCAUAGAAGCCUGGCCGCUGCCGUCCUCUCCAGCCUCCUCUUUCUGGUUUGCGUCCACUCAACUUAUCUUGAUGUUUUCGUGAAGUCAAGUGCUGCAAAUUGCAAGGCUUCUAUAUGGCAUCUAGUGUCGUGAUCUUACAGAGAACUAGGUACUUGAGAUCAGAAAACAAGUAAAACACUUUUUGCCAUGGACUCUUCACCAAAGCUCCCAGAAGAUGCCAGCAUAUAUCCUAGAGAAGAGUGUAUUACAUAAUGUGUGUCGAGUUUUACACCACCUUGCAGAGUAGGAGCAGCAGUAUCCGUGAGGAAGAGAAAGAUGCUUCAUGUGUAAUGCCCCUGGACACCUAAGAUGGUUGGAAAGAAGAUAACUCAAGAGAGAAGACUCAAAUCCUCACCUUACAUGACACAUGCACUGACUGGAAGGAAACAAUGCAGCAGAGUAAAGCAGCAAUUUUUGUGCUACUGAAGAAAGCACAGGCUCUACUACCCGGUCAAACUGCACUUCAAUGCUUGGUCUCUGGAUGUCUAGUGAGCUUGUUUGAGUUCUCUGUGGUCCAGGAAUUUUUGAUAACCUCAUGUUUUACAAGUUUGUAGCAGGUGAGCAUCCAGAAACUGGGGCAAGAGGUGGAAUUUGGUAGGUGAUAAAGGGAUUUUUACCUUCCACAAAGCAAGAAUGAAGUACAUAAAGAAGUUACCUUUUUUUUUUUGUAAUAAAUAUUAACUAAAACCCGA